GGAUUAGAAUUUUGCAAUGCUGAGUUUGAUAACUUCUAUAAGCAAAAAGGAAUUGUAAGAUACAGAACCGUUAAGCACAUACCACAACAAAAUGGGGUCGCAGAAAGAAUGAAUAGAACUCUAAUGAACAAAGUAAGAUGUAUGCUAAUCAGUUAUGGAUUAGCGAAAGGUUUCUGGGUGGAGGCUGUAUCUACUGCUGUUUAUCUUAUAAAUCGAUCUCCAUGUAGUUCUGUUGGAUUUAAAACUCCACAGGAACUUUGGACGGGAAGACCCCCAAACCUUUCUCAUAUUAGGGUGUUUGGAAGUGCGACAUAUGCACAUCAAGUUGAAGGAAAAUUGGACCCUAGAGCUACUAAGUGUGUGAUGCUUGGGUACCUGGAAGGUGUAAAGGGGUACCGGUUGUGGGUGUUAGGCGUUCAAGGCAUUAAAAUCAUUAAUAGUAGAAAUGUGAUUUUCAAUGAAUCCGAAAUGCCAUGCCUAAAGAACAAAAUUGAUAAUUCUAAAGAGCAAAACAAUGAGACUACUUCACGGAAUGAGGUGAAGCUAAUAAGGCUAAAUCCCACUCAACAUGAAAAUAUUGAUGAGGGUGUACAACAAUCUGAUGAAAAUGUUGUU
rnacentral:lncRNA from 1 species